GAAUAUUGGACAAUGGGCGCAAGCCUGAUCCAGCCAUCCCGCGUGCAGGAUGACAGCCCUAUGGGUUGUAAACUGCUUUUCUUUGGGAAGAAACCCCGGAUUUCUAUCUGGGCUGACGGUACCAAAGGAAUAAGCGCCGGCUAACUCCGUGCCAGCAACCGCGGUAAUACGGAGGGUGCAAGCGUUAUCCGGAUUCACUGGGUUUAAAGGGUGCGUAGGCGGGCUAUUAAGUCAGUGGUGAAAGCUCCCGGCCCAACCGGGAAAUUGCCAUUGAUACUGAUAGCCUUGAGUGCAGUUGAGGUGGGCGGAAUACAGCAUGUAGCGGUGAAAUGCUUAGAUAUGCUGUAGAACACCGAUUGCGAAGGCAGCUCACUAAACUGAUACUGACGCUGAGGCACGAAAGCGUGGGGAGCGAACAGG
rnacentral:rRNA from 1 species